CCCCCGUGAUGAGUCACCAUGCUAAUACUGAGGCAUCAGUUGGAGCAGUGUUGUUCUGGGCUGGGUGCUAGUGAGUUAAACCACACUUCUCACAUGGAGACCUGAGGGGC